CUGUAUCCAUGGGUUGAGUAAUUCCCUUCUGCCAAAUAUCUACUCAAAUGCUAUGGAAAAAAACAUUUUCUCUUCACUGCCUAUGGUCCCAGCCUGGGCUUGGCAAAGACAGGAAAACAGCUGCAAGCACACAAAGCAAACCUUCUCAUGUGACCAACCUGGAAAGACAGAGGCUUCAGCACGUGACACAGACUGGCACCACAGCCUGCACUUGUGACUCGAACUUAGCUGAAUUGGACAAACACG
rnacentral:lncRNA from 1 species